rnacentral:rRNA from 1 species
AACGAACGCUGGCGGCAGGCUUAACACAUGCAAGUCGAACGCCCCGCAAGGGGAGUGGCAGACGGGUGAGUAACGCGUGGGAACAUACCCUUUCCUGCGGAAUAGCUCUGGGAAACUGGAAUUAAUACCGCAUACGCCCUACGGGGGAAAGAUUUAUCGGGGAAGGAUUGGCCCGCGUUGGAUUAGCUAGUUGGUGGGGUAAAGGCCUACCAAGGCGACGAUCCAUAGCUGGUCUGAGAGGAUGAUCAGCCACAUUGGGACUGAGACACGGCCCAAACUCCUACGGGAGGCAGCAGUGGGGAAUAUUGGACAGUGGGCGCAAGCCUGAUCCAGCCAUGCCGCGUGAGUGAUGAAGGCCUUAGGGUUGUAAAGCUCUUUCACCGAUGAAGAUAAUGACGGUACCUGAAGAAUAAGCACCGGCUAACUACGUGCCAGCCGCCGCGGUAAUAC